GGGGGCGAUUUAGUUUCGACAAAGUUCAUUUUGAAAAGUGUAAAGCAUGUGGCGAAGGUCCUGACGCCUUAAACACGGACGCUGUAAAUUAAACGCAGACAAAAAUGAAAACGUUGUUUCAAUGAAUGCAAUGCCUUGCGCUGCCUAGUUGAACAACAGCCUGAUUAGAGCAUAAUCUAAUCCGCCAUGUUUUGAUUUGCCGACAAAACAUUCGGUGUCGUUAGGCAAAAACUUUAUGCAAAGUUCUUCCUUCUAUGCAUAAAAAAUUUAAAGGGAUAGCCUUGAUAACUUGUUUGUGGGUGACAUUAAGGCGAAACUUAAGCAUAAACUAAACAUGUAGAAAAGUUUUUUGAAAGGAUUUUGGACUCGGGAGCGUAACCCGACGCCUCCAC
rnacentral:tmRNA from 1 species